rnacentral:rRNA from 1 species
UACAGAGGGGGCAAGCGUUGUUCGGAAUUACUGGGCGUAAAGGGUGCGUAGGCGGCGCGGUAAGUCGGGUGUGAAAUCUCGGGGCUUAACUCCGAAACUGCAUUCGAUACUGCCGUGCUUGAGGACUGGAGAGGAGACUGGAAUUCCCGGUGUAGCGGUGAAAUGCGCAGAUAUCGGGAGGAACACCGGUGGCGAAAGCGGCUUACUGGGUCUCUUCUGACGCUGAGGAACGAAAGCUAGGGGAGCGAACGGG